CUAGCUAGUAAAAUUAAGCAAAAAGAACUUUAAGUUUAACCCCCCGAAACUAGGUGAGCUACUUCGAAACAACUAAUAGAGCUAACCCAUCUCUGUUGCAAUAGAGUGGGACGAUUUCCAAGUAGAGGUGACAAACCUACCGCACCAAGAGAUAGCUGGUUACUCAAAAAAAGAAUUUAAGUUCAACCUUAAGUUUUUUAAGUUUCUUUAAACAUUCACAAAACUUAAGAGCCAUUCAAAUAAGGCACAGCUUAUUUGAAAUAGGAAACAACCUAAAAAAUCGGGUAAUCAAAAAUGAAAAAAAUAUCAAGUGGGCCUAAAAACAGCCAUCUUUUAAAAAACGUUAAAGUUUUUUAUUUAUUUUCAUCUAAUACUGUUACCACUGUAGAACCCAUAAACUUUAUUGAGUAAUUCUAUACUUUUAUAGAAGAUUUUAUGCUAGAACUAGUAACAAGAAGUAGAGCUUCUCAAAAAUGUAAGCUUAAGCCACUUUAGACAAUCUACUGGCAAUUAACGCAAAUGAACCAAUUUUAACAACAUUAACAAGAAAAUCCUAAAAACACUAACGUUAAUCUUACACUAGAACAUUUUUUGAAAGAUUAAAAGAANGAGAAGGAACUCGGCAAACUUUAACCCCGCCUGUUUAC
rnacentral:rRNA from 1 species